rnacentral:misc_RNA from 1 species
GAAAUGCGAUAAGUAAUGUGAAUUGCAGAAUUCAGUGAAUCAUCGAAUCUUUGAACGCACAUUGCGCCCCCUGGUAUUCCGGGGGGCAUGCCUGUCCGAGCGUCAUUACAACCCUCAAGCUCAGCUUGGUAUUGGGCCCCGCCGACCCGGCGGGCCCUAAAGUCAGUGGCGGUGCCGUCCGGCUCCGAGCGUAGUAAUUCUUCUCGCUCUGGAGGUCCGGUCGUGUGCUCGCCAGCAACCCCCAAUUUUUUUCAGGUUGAUCUCAAAUCAAGUAAGACUACCCGCUGAGUUUAA